GCUCCUCUCACAUGACUCUGAGGAAAACAGGCAGCGUAGACAAGUAGAACUGAUGACUGAAGUCAUUUAUAUAAUUAAAUACUCAUCAAGCAAUUUCUUCAUCUCCUCCAAACAAGACUCACUCGAGGAGAGGAGAAAGGAUGUAUACCAGGAAGGCACAGGAGAGUCAUUGCAUUCAGGUGACUUAGCUGAAUUGCUCCUUUAACCUUCCUUGUAUUCACCUGAAUUUUCCCCCUUGCCCUACAUGAGUCCUGCAGUGGAAUCUAGAACCUCAGAUGGAUCAACAACUU